rnacentral:rRNA from 1 species
CUACGACCAUAUCACGUUGAAAACACCGGUUCUCGUCCGAUCACCGAAUUUAAGCAACGUCGAGCUCGGUUAGUACUUGGAUGGGUGACCGCCUGGGAAUACCGGGUGUUGUAG